rnacentral:lncRNA from 1 species
AUUUUAUUAAUAAGAUUGAGUUUUAACAUGCCCUCAUAUAAAUAUCCUUUUCCCACAAAGAUUUCACCCUUCGACAAAAUAAAUUUGUCAGCCUCAAAUACAAGUUUGAACCCAAAUUUGUUAAGAAGACUCCUUGAAACAAGAUUCUUUCUAAGUUCGGAUACACAAUACACAUCGGUGAAAGUGAGAGUUUUUCCUGAUGUGAACUCGAGUUUCAC